rnacentral:rRNA from 1 species
GACGAACGCUGGCGGCGUGCUUAACACAUGCAAGUCGAACGGAAAGGCCCUGCUUUUGUGGGGUGCUCGAGUGGCGAACGGGUGAGUAACACGUGAGUAACCUGCCCUUGACUUUGGGAUAACUUCAGGAAACUGGGGCUAAUACCGGAUAGGAGCUCCUGCUGCAUGGUGGGGGUUGGAAAGUUUCGGCGGUUGGGGAUGGACUCGCGGCUUAUCAGCUUGUUGGUGGGGUAGUGGCUUACCAAGGCUUUGACGGGUAGCCGGCCUGAGAGGGUGACCGGCCACAUUGGUACUGAGGUACGGCCCAGACUCCUACGGGAGGCAGCGGUGGGGAAUAUUGCACAAUGGGCGGAAGCCUGAUGCGGCAACGCCGCGGGCGGGAUGACGGCCUUCGGGGUGUAAACCGCUUUCGCCUGUGACGAAGCGUGAGUGACGGUAAUGGGUAAAGAAGCACCGGCUAACUACGUG